GAUGAACGCUGGCGGCGUGCCUAACACAUGCAAGUCGAACGGAGAUUACGGACGGAAGUUUUCGGAUGGAAGACUGUAAUUCUUAGUGGCGGACGGGUGAGUAACGCGUGGGCAACCUGCCCUAUACAGGGGGAUAGCAGCUGGAAACGGCUGGUAAGACCGCAUAAGUCGGUUAAAUCGCAUGAUUUGAUCGGGAAAUGAGCAAUCAGGUAUAGGAUGGGCCCGCGUCCGAUUAGCCAGUUGGCAGGGUAAAAGCCUACCAAAGCGACGAUCGGUAGCCGGGCUGAGAGGUCGGACGGACACAUUGGGACUGAGACACGGCCCAAACUCCUACGGGAGGCAGCAGUGGGGGAUAUUGCACAAUGGAGGAAACUCUGAUGCAGCGACGCCGCGUGAGUGAAGAAGUAUUUCGGUAUGUAAAGCUCUAUCAGCAGGGAAGAUGAUGACGGUACCUGACUAAGAAGCCCCGGCUAACUACGUG
rnacentral:rRNA from 1 species